rnacentral:lncRNA from 1 species
AGCUGAAGAGUGCCUUAACGCCGAGGCCCACGGCUCCAUGCGAGAGAUGCCUGUUCCUUCUCUGAUAAAUUUGGCAGCUUCACGUACCCUAAGGCCCAGAAAGGACCUGUUUCCUCAACACCCUGACCAGCACAGAACAUUGUAAUAAUGACAAUUAUCAGUCAUUUAGCUCCAACUAAGCCCCAGAUAUUGUCAUAAAUUCUUUACAUAUAUUGAGUCAUAGAAUAAUCUCAAUAAUAUAUAAGGAUGUUCAUAUAAUCCACAUUUUACAGAAAAGAAAAUUGGAGUUGUGACCGAUUAAUCACAUAAUCACAGUCGUCUAAAUCACAUAGAUUGUAGAUGGAGGAAUAAGAAUGUCAGUGCCUGUGAUUGAAUGAAAAAUGCCCCAAAAGAUAUCCAUGCUCUAAUUCUUGGAAUCUCUGAAUAUUACCUUACUUUGCACAGACCCCCAAAAGGGGGGUCUUCGGAGAAAAAGUUAAAGAUGAAGAAAUUAUCCUGGAUUAUCCAAGUGGAGCUCAAAUACCAUCACAAGUGCCUUUAAUAGGGAGAGGCACAGGGAGAUUAUACAGUUACAGAAGAGAAGAAGACAAUGUGACCACACGGACACAGAUAGAAGCAAUGCCACCACCAGCCAAGGAAUGCGAGCAGCCACCAGAGGCUGGGAAAAGGUAAGGACAUAUUCUUCCCUAGAGCCUCCGGAGGGAGCAUAGCCCUGCCAACACCUUGAUUUCAAACCAGUGAUACUGAGUUUGGACUUUUGGCCUCCAGAACUGUGAGAAAAGAAGUCACUUAUUUUAGGCCAUCAAGUUUGUGGUACUGUAAUUUGUUACAGAAGCUACAGAAAACUAAUUCAACAUCUUUAAGUGCUAUUCGGCACACUACCACAAACAACUGUUUUUGUUUUGCUGUUGUUUGCCAAUCUGAUAUGUUAAAGACAUUAUCUCACUGUAUUUCUAUAGUUUCAUUUUUUAAACUUCUUUUACUUCU